ensembl:lncRNA
UUUCAAACUGAAAAGGCCAAUUAAGUGCUGGGAUGGAUUUAUAAAGCAAACAAACCAACCUUUCGCACAAACACAGGAAAUCAGUGGUAAAUGGAAGCUUUAAAAUAUCCUAGAGGGAAGGAAUAGACUACUUAUAAAGCAAGAAGAAACAGACGGAAUCAAGGGGCUUCCUUGAAUAUGGCUUUCAGUUGGGUUUGGCCGACGAGAAGCACCCCCAGGAGAUCAACGGCAGGAGGAGCACAGAAUCUCUCUAGCUAUCAUAUAAAGGAUACAUUUUAAAAAGAAAAGAAUGGAAGCCGGGGCCCAGUGCAAGGCAGCAAAGAAGAAUGAGUGAAGGAGUGCCCGGAAUGGACAGAAGUAGUAGGAAUGGAUAGAAAGAGUAAAUCAAAAUAAGGACUCUCACUUUUUGGUUGUGUGACUUACCGUGGCGUAACUCAGCAUAGGAAAUAGAAUUGGAAUGAUGACAUCCAAUUCUGCAUCCAGCCUAAAUCCUUUGUCUAGCACAACAUGGAUUCAUUUUGCUGAAUGAGGUGCCAGUCAUCACAGACCAACAUGUGCUACAGUGUGAUAGUGAGAGUCCAAGAAAUACUGCUCUGCACUCUACCUGAGAGAGAUACAGCACUCCUUAUUUGCAAAGUCUGGAGGGAGAACUGCUUUCUGUGAUUCAUUUUAAUUGCUACCUAAAGUCUAUAAAAUUUAAUGGUUGCCAUUUUUCCCUCAAAGUGGUGGUAACGAAUGCAUUACAUGUUCUUAAGACUGUAUAAAUUGAACUUCUAUAAAAACAAAUCAAUAAUUACUUACACACGUUGCUGUUUUUUAGAUCAACCACCAUCAUUAAUAGGGCUUUACUUAUAAAAUCUUAUAAAGUAUAGAUUAAAAGUAUAGCAAAAGUAUAAUCAUUUAGAAAUACAAAACAAGCAUCCUAAUGCAUAAAGAAAAAAUAAAAUAAAAGUAGCAUACUUGUAGUUUAAAAAAAUAGUUUUGGUAAAAUUAAGUAAAUAACUGUCAAGGAAAAUAUCUGAUCCUUACCAUAACAAUCAAUCAAAUGGAAGAGUCAGACAAAUUUACCAAAGUGAGCCAUGAAGCUACUGGUUUUCAUAAUACAUUAAAAAUUUUAAUUUCAUCUUUCUCAGUUUUUACCCAUAUAGUUCACAAAAAUAGAAAAUUUAAUACAUAAAAAGUAUGUAUGCAAGUGUUUGGUUUACAAUCCAUGCAUCUAUAAGGCCAAAGAUGUCAGUACAGUUAAAUUAACCCAUGGGGCGCAGAGGUUAAACACAAGCCCGGGGAAGCGACAGAGACCAAUCGAACCCCUUGCAGCUGAUUUUAUUCUGCUAGUGAAAAUCCAAUGCUCGCGGCUAACAAGCUCUCGGGGAACCUGUUUCUGUACUUUCUCUAGUUGCACUGAGAAUCAGUAUUUCAUCAUGCUUUGAAAAACAUGUAUGCACAUCUUUGAAAUACUAAUUCCUAUGAUUCAUAAUGACCUUGAGUAGAAGGAAAGGGAAAAAUCGCAUUUUUUAAAAUGGUCUUUUUUUUCUGAGGCUGUCGAGGCACGAUUUGUAUUUUCAGCAUCUGGUAACAGAUUAGAGACUCCCUGGAUCUUAAGGAAUUGACUAAUCUUUACUUGUAUUGAAGACUAAAGACAGAUUGCAAAUAAUGGAUAUCCACAGGGUCCUCUGAGCAUCUGCUACAGCGCGCCUCCCACGCGAGCCACUGCUCGGUAAGGACGUUAUGGCCCUUCCGCAGUGUCAAUGUGAUUCUUGGAGAUGGUUGCCUCUUCUCUGUGUUCACCUAACCGGCAGCAUGUGGCUGGGAUUUGAAGGCGCACAGCGGAUUCCCUGAGCCUGCCGUUUCCUCCAGGGCCAUCUCAGGGCCACCAGCCCAGGAAGAGAUGGCAUAGAAGCCGGAGUGUAGGAGGAGCGGCCAAGUGGGCAAAACGAGCGCAGCACAGCCUGAGACAAGGCCGUCGCCAUGCCGGGGCAGAGCCCGGGACCUGGCACCAGUCCUCGGGGCCUAUGCUUACCCUUCUCCCAUCUGGGCUAGCAAAGGAACACCCGGGCGCUCUUCUUUUCCUGUUGAGCUGUGUGCUCUAAAAUCUGCUCUCCUCCCAGGCUGUGCCGCACGGACUAGCCCACUGAAACGUGCCAACCACUUACUAUGUUGUCAUCUCCUGAAUGUGCACAACUUGAACUUUGCACACGGGAUUUAAGAUGCUAGCUCUAGACAAGAGCCGCCCCGUGCUCAUCACACCCCGUCAGCUGACGACUGUGGCUUGACAGAAAAGCUGUUCAGUAGUUGUCACUCUUCCCUGCCAGAAGCCGGUCUGUGCCACCUCCUGCCCUACAUUGACCGUGUGGAGCUGGCUUUAUAACUGCACCGUCAGUAACUCCAGUUACCCCGACCAGCAGUCUCGAUUGGAGAGUGGCCAAACUGAGAUUCUCAGGGAAGAGGCCAAG